GAUAUGUAAUGUGAAUUGCAGAUCUACAGUGAAUCAUCGAAUCUUUGAACGCACCUUGCGCUCCUCGGUGUUCCGAGGAGCAUGCCUGUUUGAGUGUCAGU
rnacentral:rRNA from 1 species